AAGACAGCUGAAUGAUAGUCGGGCUGAAGACUCUACUUGACUAGCUGAGAGAGGUGCAUGGCCGUCGUCAGUUCGUACUGUGAAGCAUCCUGUUAAGUCAGGCAACGAGCCGAGACCCACGCCAACAGUUGCCAGCUCGUCCUCCGGGAUGGUGGGGACACUGUUGGGACCGCCUCUGCUAAAGAGGAGGAAGGAAUGGGCAACGGUAGGUCAGCAUGCCCCGAAUUAUCUGGGCUACACGCGGGCUACAAUGGGUGGGACAAUGGGUAUCGACACCGAAAGGUGAAGGCAAUCUCCUAAACCCAUCCUUAGUUCGGAUUGUGGGCUGCAACUCGCCCACAUGAAGCUGGAAUCUGUAGUAAUCGUGUCUCAAAAUGGCACGGUGAAUACGUCCCUGCUCCUU
rnacentral:rRNA from 1 species